UUAGAGUUUGAUCCUGGCUCAGGAUGAACGCUGGCGGCGUGCCUAAUACAUGCAAGUCGAGCGAACUGAUUAGAAGCUUGCUUCUAUGACGUUAGCGGCGGACGGGUGAGUAACACGUGGGCAACCUGCCUGUAAGACUGGGAUAACUUCGGGAAACCGAAGCUAAUACCGGAUAGGAUCUUCUCCUUCAUGGGAGAUGAUUGAAAGAUGGUUUCGGCUAUCACUUACAGAUGGGCCCGCGGUGCAUUAGCUAGUUGGUGAGGUAACGGCUCACCAAGGCAACGAUGCAUAGCCGACCUGAGAGGGUGAUCGGCCACACUGGGACUGAGACACGGCCCAGACUCCUACGGGAGGCAGCAGUAGGGAAUCUUCCGCAAUGGACGAAAGUCUGACGGAGCAACGCCGCGUGAGUGAUGAAGGCUUUCGGGUCGUAAAACUCUGUUGUUAGGGAAGAACAAGUACGAGAGUAACUGCUCGUACCUUGACGGUACCUAACCAGAAAGCCACGGCUAACUACGUGCCAGCAGCCGCGGUAAUACGUAGGUGGCAAGCGUUAUCCGGAAUUAUUGGGCGUAAAGCGCGCGCAGGCGGUUUCUUAAGUCUGAUGUGAA
rnacentral:rRNA from 2 species